rnacentral:rRNA from 1 species
AGAGUUUGAUCCUGGCUCAGGAUGAACGCUGGCGGCGUGCCUAACACAUGCAAGUCGAACGAAGCUUGACGGAUGAUUUCUUCGGAAUGAAACCUGAUAUGACUUAGUGGCGGACGGGUGAGUAACACGUGAGCAACCUGCCUUUCAGAGGGGGAUAACGGCUGGAAACGGUCGCUAAUACCGCAUGAUGUGUUCGGAUGGCAUCAUCUGAACAUCAAAGAUUUAUCGCUGAAAGAUGGGCUCGCGUCUGAUUAGAUAGUUGGUGGGGUAACGGCCUACCAAGUCUACGAUCAGUAGCCGGACUGAGAGGUUGAACGGCCACAUUGGGACUGAGAUACGGCCCAGACUCCUACGGGAGGCAGCAGUGGGGAAUAUUGCACAAUGGGGGAAACCCUGAUGCAGCAACGCCGCGUGAAGGAUGACGGUUUUCGGAUUGUAAACUUCUUUUCUUAGUGACGAAGACAGUGACGGUAGCUAAGGAAUAAGCAUCGGCUAACUACGUGCCAGCAGCCGCGGUAAUACGUAGGAUGCAAGCGUUAUCCGGAUUUACUGGGUGUAAAGGGAGCGCAGGCGGGACUGCAAGUUGGAUGUGAAAUACCGUGGCUUAACCACGGAACUGCAUCCAAAACUGUAGUUCUUGAGUGAAGUAGAGGCAAGCGGAAUUCCGAGUGUAGCGGUGAAAUGCGUAGAUAUUCGGAGGAACACCAGUGGCGAAGGCGGCUUGCUGGGCUUUAACUGACGCUGAGGCUCGAAAGUGUGGGGAGCAAACAGGAUUAGAUACCCUGGUAGUCCACACUGUAAACGAUGAUUACUAGGUGUGGGGGGUCUAACCCCCUCCGUGCCGGAGUUAACACAAUAAGUAAUCCACCUGGGGAGUACGACCGCAAGGUUGAAACUCAA